rfam:Cavia porcellus supercont2_9 genomic scaffold, whole genome shotgun sequence.
AUGUUUUUGUAGUUCAUAAGUGUGAUGACUUGGUCUUCACACUAUUGUGUGAGAAGCAUCUUCCCUCAGAUUUUGAUACAAUGUUGAUACCUUUUUCAUCUAAUG